CAGCAGCCGCGGGAAAACGGAGGGUGCAAGCGUUAAUCGGAAUUACUGGGCGUAAAGCGCACGCAGGCGGUUUGUUAAGUCUGUUGUGAAAGCCCCGGGCUCAACCUGGGAAUGGCAAUGGAUACUGGCGAGCUAGAGUGUGUCAGAGGAUGGUGGAAUUCCCGGUGUAGCGGUGAAAUGCGUAGAGAUCGGGAGGAACAUCAGUGGCGAAGGCGGCCAUCUGGGACAACACUGACGCUGAGGCACGAAAGCGUGGGGAGCAAACAGGAUUAGAUACCCGCGUAGUCCCUGUCUCUUAUAC
rnacentral:rRNA from 1 species